rnacentral:rRNA from 1 species
UACGGAGGGUGCAAGCGUUAUCCGGAUUCACUGGGCUUAAAGGGCGCGUAGGUGGGCUUGUAAGUCAGUGGUGAAAGCCCGGAGCUCAACUUCGGAACUGCCAUUGAUACUGCAAGUCUUGAGUACGCUUGAGGUGGGCGGAAUACAUCAUGUAGUGGUGAAAUACUUAGAUAUGAUGUAGAACACCGAUUGCGAAGGCAGCUCACUGAAUUGUAACUGACACUGAGGCACGAAAGCGUGGGGAUCAAACAGG